GACGAACGCUGGCGGCGUGCUUAACACAUGCAAGUCGAGCGGUAAGGCCCUUUCGGGGGUACGACGAGCGGCGAACGGGUGAGUAACACGUGGGUGACCUGCCUUUAGCUCUGGGAUAAGCCUGGGAAACCGGGUCUAAUACCGGAUAUGACUCCGCGGCGCAUGUUGUGGGGUGGAAAGCCUUGUGCGGCUGGAGAUGGGCCCGCGGCCUAUCAGCUUGUUGGUGGGGUGAUGGCCUACCAAGGCGACGACGGGUAGCCGGCCUGAGAGGGCGACCGGCCACACUGGGACGUGAGACACGGCCCAGACUCCUACGGGAGGGCAGCAGUGGGGAAGUCUUGCGCAAUGGGCGAAAGCCUGACGCAGCGACGCCGCGUGA
rnacentral:rRNA from 1 species